rnacentral:lncRNA from 1 species
UAUGAGGAUGAGGAUCGCAGUGAUAUCGAGUCCUAGUAGAAAGGUGGCAAGCGAAAAUACAGUGGUUUUCAAAUUCGUUUUAUAGAGUCGUGUCAUCUCUAAGGAGAAGAACUGCAGUUGUGUCUUUGGGAUAUGGUGAAGGCAGCCAUCAAAUGACCUCAAUCAAAGAGCGUCCCACCUGCACACCGACACCGUGCACACGGGGCAAACGGCCAAUGCAUCAAAGCACACUGACUCUUGGCGAUCAGACUAAAUCCAUUUAUUCGACAACACACGCAGAGAGUUUUUCUGGGAGAGGAUAUGAUGGUCAAGCGCUGGUCUUUCUGCCCCGAGAUCCAAGUUAUCUCUCUCAGCAUGAUGGAAAGCCGGACCUCAGUAACAUUCAUGUGUCACAAGGACAGACACACUCCAGAGAUGUGCAUGGCCCGAAAGACAUAGUACCACAUUACAUCCUACACAGAGUGGGGGUACAGAACAGGACACAGAACCGUGAGGGGUUUGUGAUGAAAGAGGUCACCAACCCCGCUGAGGCCACACUGCACCAGACCACAUAUCAAACAGCGCACUGCACCACUUCCAACAGAUAUCAAACAAAUGAAGCAAGCGGACAGCCAGUCCCCUGGCACAGGCAUAAUAUUAUCACAGGAGAGGAGAAGGCUGCAGCUGGGCCUUGGCAGGCCAGAAGACAGUCUGGGGAGAGCAUUCUGUGUGCAGCUCGGUAUUGCGAGAUGCACAGUGACUCUUUUCAUUUGUACUGAAGAUGACACCAAUAAACAGCUAAUAAAA